CGGGUGAGUAACACGUAUCCAACCUGCCGUCUACUCUUGGACAGCCUUCUGAAAGGAAGAUUAAUACAAGAUGGCAUCAUGAGUUCACAUGUUCACAUGAUUAAAGGUAUUCCGGUAGACGAUGGGGAUGCGUUCCAUUAGAUAGUAGGCGGGGUAACGGCCCACCUAGUCUUCGAUGGAUAGGGGUUCUGAGAGGAAGGUCCCCCACAUUGGUGCUGAGACACGGACCAA
rnacentral:rRNA from 1 species